CCUACGGGAGGCAGCAGUGAGGAAUAUUGGUCAAUGGACGAAAGUCUGAACCAGCCAAGUAGCGUGAAGGAUGACUGCCCUAUGGUUUUUAAACUUCUUUUAUAAAGGAAUAAAACGAGGCACGUCUGCCUUUUUGCAUGUACUUUAUGACUAAGGAUCGGCUAACUCCGUGCCAGCAGCCGCGGUAAUACGGGGGAUCCGAGCGUUAUCCGGAUUUAUUGGGGUUAAGGGGUGCGCAGGCGGAGGCAAAAGUCAGCGGUAAAAUCGCGGGGCUAAACCCCGCUCCGCCGUUGAAACUGUGUCCCUUGAGUGCGGGAAGGGUAGGCGGAAUGCGUGGUGUAGCGGUGAAAUGCAUAGAUAUCACGCGGAACUCCGAUCGCGAAGGCAGCCUACCGGCGCGCAACUGACGCUCAUGCACGAAAGCGUGGGUAGCGAACAGGAUUAGAUACCCUUGUAGUC
rnacentral:rRNA from 1 species